rnacentral:lncRNA from 1 species
CUGGCUUCCUGCAGUUUCUCUUGCAAAUUAGCAAUGUUCUCUGCUUUCUGGGCUCCUUUUUGGUCCUGUUUUCUCACAUCCAGCCUUUCUAUCACCUCCUCCUCACCCCUGGUGCUGAGGCCUCCACUGCUGCUACCCAGCAGCUCAGUUGAUGCCACGACCAUCUGGGGACCUGCACAGUGUUCCCCACCUCCUGGAGAGCCAUGCAGGAAGGGUGGAGUUGGGCAUGUAGCAGCCUGGCUACAUGCCAUCUGUCACCCGGAAUAUGCUUGUCCUCCAUCAGUGAAGUGUGCCUUGUGUGAUGGGAAUGACUGAGCAGACAUUUAGGAUGACUCUUGAUAAAACAAUGACCACAGAACACUCCUGUAACUCUUCAGACCGUGUUUACAGCCAAGACGUUAAGAUGGCAACAUGGGAUAAUUUGAAGAUGAUCUGUAAUAACAACAAAGAACUUCAAGUUUCAAACCUCCUUAAAAAAGUGGACUCGAUUUCCCCAAAAAAAAAAGUGUGUACAUUCCUUAGUCAAGUUAAUAUAAAGUGUGAUAAUCAAUCCUCUCACCAAACAAUAGUUGGUGUUCUGUCAUUUGUCUUAUUGUACACAGGAACUCAUGCAAAACUGAAACAGCAAUGUGGGUCGGUUGUUAAGGAGCUCGUAGAUCUAAAAUUUGAGCUCAGGCCACAAGAUCACAUGUACAGCAACAGAACCGAUUCUUUGAUGCAUUGUGACCAACAAGUUAAAAAUUUGCUUAGGAGAGAUCAUUAAAUCCCACAGAAUACAUUGAAUCCUUUUUUUGACUUCCAUUUAGUCAUUAUACUUUUUAUUAAUAACUUAUUUUCCUUUGAAAACAGGAAUAAAAAGAGCUGAAUCUUGGUUAAAGUAGCUUCA